rnacentral:rRNA from 1 species
AUGACCCCCGCGCAGGACCCCUUCUACAUCGUCAAGGACGAGAUCCAGGAUUCCAUUGACAAAAUACAAGAUACUUUUAAUCAAUGGAAGCAAGCACCUGAAAAUACAGGAGAGUAUGUGCAUCUUACCAGAGAACUGCUAACCACCUGUGAGAGCGUCCAAUGGCAGGUGGAUGAGUUAGAGAAGGCAAUUUCUGUUGCUGAGAGAGAUCCAGCUUACUAUGGACUAAACGAGGUUGAAAUUGGGAAACGGAGGAACUGGACUAGCACCGCCCGCAACCAGGUGGUAUCAAUACGGAGGAAUGUUGAAGCUGGAAAGCACAAGACUGCCUUUGGACGUUCGGUCAAUCCUUCCGAACUAGGCAGAUCCAAGCAGCACAUUUCUCAGGAUAACGAUGACUUCAUUGCUUCAGAAUCUGAUCAACAGAUGCUCCUGAUGAAGCGUCAGGAUGAUGAGUUGGAUGCGCUUAGUGCUAGUGUCCAGCGAAUUGGAGGUGUAGGUCUCACAAUACACGAAGAGCUUGUUGGACAGGAAAAACUUCUAGGUGAACUAAGCCUCGACAUGGAAACUACCUCCAACCGGCUCGAUUUUGUGCAGAAAAGAGUGGCUAUGGUUCUGAAGAAGGCCAGCUUGAAAGGGCAGAUCAUGAUGAUAGCUUUCUUGGUGGUUCUUUUCAUCAUCCUUUUCGUUUUGGUAUUCUUGACUUGA